GAGCUAUGAUGAAAUUUGCAUUUGUGAUGGGGGGUCCAUCACGCUCAUCUGAUGUCGCAGAUGAUACCAAGUGACGUCUCUGAGCUC